rnacentral:rRNA from 1 species
UACAGAGGCCUCGAGCGUUAGGCGGAAUCACUGGGCUUAAAGCGUGUGUAGGCGGACUUCUAAGUACCUUGUGAAAUCCCACGGCUUACCCGUGGAACGGCUGGGUAUACUGAGAGUCUUGAGCCACCUAGGGGCGAGUGGAACAAAUGGUGGAGCGGUGAAAUGCGCAGAUAUCAGGAGGAACACCGAUGGCGAAGGCAGGUCUCUGGGCAUUAACUGACGCUGAGGAGCGAAAGCAUGGGGAGCGAACAGG